rnacentral:rRNA from 1 species
GGCUCAGAACGAACGCUGGCGGCGUGCCUAACACAUGCAAGUCGAACGGAGGCGGGGAGCUUGCUCCUUGCUUUAGUGGCGCACGGGUGAGUAAUGCGUAGAUAAUCUACCUGAGGGUCCGGGAUAACAUUUCGAAAGGGGUGCUAAUACCGGAUAAGCCCACGGAGUCUUCGGACUUUGCGGGAAAAGGGGGGGACCUUCGGGCCUUCUGUCCUCAGAUGAGUCUACGUACCAUUAGCUAGUUGGUGGGGUAAAGGCCUACCAAGGCGACGAUGGUUAGCUGGUCUGAGAGGAUGAUCAGCCACACUGGAACUGAGACACGGUCCAGACUCCUACGGGAGGCAGCAGUGGGGAAUUUUGCGCAAUGGGGGAAACCCUGACGCAGCAACGCCGCGUGAGUGAUGAAGGCCUUCGGGUCGUAAAGCUCUGUCAGAGGGAAAGAAAUGUGCGAGGGUUAAUACCCCUUGUACUUGACGGUACCCUCAAAGGAAGCACCGGCUAACUCCGUGCCAGCAGCCGCGGUAAUACGGAGGGUGCGAGCGUUGUUCGGAUUUAUUGGGCGUAAAGCGCGUGUAGGCGGCUUCUUAAGUCUGAUGUGAAAGCCCUGGGCUCAACCCGGGAAGUGCAUUGGAAACUGGGAAACUUGAAUACGGGAGAGGGUAGUGGAAUUCCUGGUGUAGGAGUGAAAUCCGUAGAUAUCAGGAGGAACACCGGUGGCGAAGGCGGCUACCUGGACCGAUAUUGACGCUGAGACGCGAAAGCGUGGGGAGCAAACAGGAUUAGAUACCCUGGUAGUCCACGCCGUAAACGAUGAGUACUAGGUGUUGCGGGUAUUGACCCCUGCAGUGCCGCAGCUAACGCAUUAAGUACUCCGCCUGGGAAGUACCGUCGCAAGACUAAAACUCAAAU